CUGGGGUGUGGGUUUGUUGGAUUUUCCCUGAAUUAAGCAUCGCUGCGGGGGCGGGAAAAGUAAUUUCUUUUUUCUUUUCUUUUCUUUUUUUUUCUGGGUUUUUUUUUUUUUUGUUUGUUUGUUUUUGUUUUGGGGGUUUUUUUGGUUUUUUUUCUUUUGAGAGAGUGAGGCGCUGCUGCAAUACGGCAGUGAUGGACGGUGUCGCCGGGCACCGCGAGGGAGCCGUGCCAGCACCACCGAUGGGGUGGCAGCAUUUUCCCGGGGUCUGCGGGCGGCCCGGGGAGGGAGAGGAGAGGAGCUGCACCUUUUUGUUUGCCUGCUUCACGCCGAGGGUGCGGUAAUGGGGCAAACUAGAGCGAAGUCAACCAGCAGAAUGGGGGUAGGACUUUGGCGACCGCAGCAUGGAGAGAGCACCGCAGGUGCUCCUCUGCCCUCCCUGUCCCGAGGGUUGCACCACGAGCGUAUGGAGGCUGCAGGUGUGAAAAUCCACCGUCCCUGCAGCGGGUCAUCAUUGCUGGAGCUGUUCGUUUUCUCCGCAUUCUCCCUAGGCUCCCUAGGCUGUGUCAUCCUGGAAGUUACCCCAAAAAAGGCAAUUCCCAUGGGCCCUGUACCAGAGUGUCUUUUGGUAGGAACUCCUCCCAAGUGCAGAACGAUUCCUCCUAGGAUGGCGGUGGCACCCUUUUCAGGCACCCUUCCUAGGAGCCUCUGCUCUGAGGAGGUGGCACCUCCCUCUGGAGCUCCAGGCAGACGAUAGUGCUAAAGGUUAUUUUCCUGCUGGUAAGUUGGCCAAUAUACAGCUUUGCCUGCAUUUGCAUUCACCCUGCUUCUCCUGCCAAGGCUGAGGCAACGACCAUCGAGAUGUUCCUUUUGACAGUGUUGGCUGCUGAAUGCCAACUGCUGAUACUGACAUUUAAGAUCUGUAUGUGAGGAAAAAAAGAGGAUUCCCUCAGCCCUGAAGUGGUAACAGCAAAGGAAUCAAUUCCUUUGCAUGGUAUGGGCAGUGCCAGAAGCUUUCCCACUUCAAUAUGUGAGGCUGAAGUAAUAGUGAUGAGGGGCAGUAAAGCAGCCAUAAGGUUGGUAACACCUCUCCCUGGAGACCCAGGAAGAGUGUCCCCACCAGUGUUAGGUAGACUUGACUCUCACUUUAAAGGUUGUACUUAUUUAUCUUUAAGAAGAAUCUUCUUUUUUACUGAAAACUGGGGCUUGCACACUGUAAUUUUCCUUGAAUUUGGCUCUGGACUUGUGUCUCCUGUGUCACAUUCCUGCCAGCGCACUGACGAGGCCGUCUGCUUCUAAAGAGGUUGUGUUACUUAAAGCCACAGAAACAAUAAACACAGUUGCAAACUAAGGCUGACUUUUUUUCCUUGUGAAAGGUUUGAAAGGUAUGCAGGUUCCUUAUAUACUAAGUUACUGUUGUUGAAAGAGCAUGUCAUAAUUUUAAUUAGAAAGCAGUAGUUUGAAAGGUUUAGAAGUAUAAAUAUGCAAGAUCAGACUGAAGUCUGGCAUGUAAUUUAUAACACCAGUGUGUAAUUCUCAUUGGGCUGAAAAGUUCUUCAUAGGUGAGGACAGGGGAAGUAGGUUCUCAGUACAUAUGUAUGGAGUUCUAUAGUUCAUAAUUAUGCAUGCCCUGGGAUUCCUAUAGCUUGCCAGCAUAAUUUGUAGCUAAAGCAAGUUUUUCAGUAAAGCAUCUGUGACCCAGUACUGUCCCCAUGGUCAGUAUCUAUUACUUUUAAAGCACCUUUAUGGAGGUUUUAUCAAAUUAUGGAGUGGUAAAAGGGAGUUUACUCUUCCACUUCAGUAAAUAGAUAAAGUGCUGAACAUGGAAUCCAAUUACCUUUAUUGUUCUUCUCACAGAGCAUAGCCAUAUCAUAAAUACUGGGGUAAAUCCCACUGUUUUACUGAGACCUUGUUUCAGUUUCACUGAAGAUUGUUGGCUUGGCUAAGAUGGGGAGGACUUGGCUCGGGAGUGAUGAUAGAGUUACCCAUCCAUGGUAUUUAACUUGGUGACCUAUUACAGCAAUGAAUUCUAUAGUCAGGACAUGUGCUACAUAGAAGUAUUUUUUUAAUUUGCUCUAAAUUUAUUGCUGCCUGAUUUUAUUAUUGUUCUCUCUUUCUAGGGUAAGAAGGAGGGCUGAAUGACUUUUUAUGCUGACCUUCUAAAACUAAAGUGUUUCAGCCAAAAUGCCUUAACCAAUGUCUUCUGGCUGUUUUCAUCUUUCAGUUUAGUGGCCUUCAUCUUGCCAUCACACUUGUAUGAGUCAGGUCUUUUAUGUAAAGCAUAUGGGACAGUCUCCUGCAGAGACACUGAACUACAGAAUUAUGUCUUAACUCAUCUUUUAGAAUUACUCUGAUCCAUAUAAUGCAUAAAAAAUUACUGUGUUUAAAAAUAUGUCUAAAUAUACAUGUUCUUAUUAGGAAAGACUAUAUUAGGUAGUAAAUGUAAAAGUAAGUGCACAGUAAAAUUCAAUAUUGAAAGAAAAAUCAAAAGAACAGGAAUAAGUUUAAAAUUGAACUACAAGUCUGAACUCAGAAGUGUAAGACUACAAAUAUGUUUAGGUAUCUAUUCUCUGAGCAGCCAUGGUUAUGGAUGGACAGAUUCAGCAGAUAAGUUUGAGCACACACACCUCCUGGAUCAGCAUCUCAGACUGCAAGCUCACAGAAGAUACUGCUUUUUUGUCAGGGUACAUUAUUAAAAAAAAACCUCCCUAGAGCUGAACUGGCAAUCAUAGCUGCUACAGCAAUACAGAGUGAAAAUAAUACCAGUAAAUAGUUCAAGUCUGUCUAAUAAUGUACUUUUUGUGCAUAUUUAAUCAAUAGGACAACUGAAGUAGAGCACUGCUUAUCCUGAACAAUGGUGGCAGCUAGAUCCUGGUUCUAACAAUAGUACACUGAAUAGGCAUUUGUUUUAUAUAAAUAAAGCCAGACUCUACAGUGGGUAUCAGUGAUGAGUUACAAGCUCAACUGUGGGCUUCUCAGAAACUUCAUGGACGUUUUGCUAGGGUGUAUAGAAAACAUGAAAGAUUCUCAGAAAUGACAAUUUGAAAUCUUGCCCUGAAGUUAGGGAAACAAAUUUAGCUCUCAAAAGAUGUUUCUGGUGGUGGAUAUGAAAGCUGUUUCUUAGGCGGGAGAUGAAAACAAGUGGAGGCAAAUUAACAGUAACUAAAGCUGAGGUCUAAUAAAAACAGUUGGAGUAAAAUAAAACAACAAAAAAAGCAAAAGCAAGCAAAGUGAAAAAAGCUAAUACUCUUCUCACAUUAAUAAAGUUUGUUUGUCUUUUGACAGCAAAUAAAUUCCUGAUUUUUACAAAGGAGGCUUUAUUUUAUAAGAAUCAAGCUUUUCCACUGGUAUUAGCUCGUGCUGCAAAUACCUGCUUUGGAUAUAUUACUAGAGAGUAUUUUAUUCCACAGCUUGCAGCAAUGUGUGAAGCAAGUUGCUCCUCUCCUUAAGGGGAGGACUGCUGCCUGUCCUGUGUUCCCCAGAGCCUUUUUGCCUUUAGAGUGGUGCCUGAACUGGUUCCCCAGCAGGGCAAGGAUUGCUGCCCCUGCGAGGGCUGGCAUCUUCCAAGGGGAACAGGGAAAGACGAUUAGGGGGAGGGAAAUAACAAAUAGUCUUGGUGCCAGGGGCCUAUGGACAAGUGAAGGAGGCAGAGAAAGGCUCAUGAUCAGAGGCACAGUAAGAUAGUAAGCCUCUGAGAAGGAUAGAUGCGGGGCAGAAAAGAAAGUUUAGAGGACCAAAGGCGCUUAGAUGCAGUUGAAGACCCAAGCUGAUUUAGACUGGGGUCUAAAUCUGAGCACUUGUCCCUGGCAGUGGAGCAUGGGAAGGAGGCCCAUCGCAGCUGAGGAAAGUAGGUGGCUCUCUUGCCUGUGCCUCAGGGGUCUGCAUGGCCCACCACCCCCCUGGCAACUGACCACUGCUUGCUCCAUGGCCAUGGGCAGCCUCUAUCUGUACAACAAGGGUGACAAAAAACAAUGAGCCUCUAAUGACUUAGGGCCUACAUUGGGAUCUUGCUGUUCCCUCAUUUCUUACCACUCAUCUUCACCUGCUUGAAAGCGCAAGUCUUUUAAAGUGUUUCAAAUGCAAAUAUCCUGCCCUUAAAGUAUAUGCCUUACAUCCCUGAUAGUUUAAUUUGACAUAAAGGGGGGGAAUGUUGUUGUGCAAUUAAUAUUAUUUUGUAUAAUCAGAAAUAUAAAUCAUAAUCCCCCAAAGAUGUUUAAUAAUUUGAAGUGUUCAGAACUCAAUUAAGGCUAUUAAGAGAUUAGAAAUUAGAUCAAAGGUGGCUAAAGGGUAAAAAUUCAAGGACUUCAAACACCUUUUGUAAUACAAAGACCCUUAAAAAUGAAAAGACUGAGAAUUUCCCCAGGAAAUUCCUAUCAUUUUAAUUAGGUUUCUUCAUUUAAAAUAAAAAGAAACCACACAAUUUGAGUCCCACUUCCUCUCUCAAGCAGUGGACUCAAGAAAUUGCCUGCUGAGACCUCCUCCUUUGCCAGGUUUGGAGGGAUGUGCAAAGGUUUAACAGGUUUUGGCUACCAGGAGGGACCACCCCAACCAUCUGACAUGUUCUCCUGCAUUGAUGCCUGCCAAAGAAAUUCUCCCAACCUUUCCUGUGGUGGUGGGAAUUAUUUUUCCUCUGAUCAUGUUUUCUCUGGCCUAAACUGUAUCCAUUUCUCAUUUCCUUCCAUUUGGAGUCAAGUUGCUGGCUCCUUUUGCCACUGAAAAGGGGAAUCCCUAGAAAUGUGGAAGGCUCUUGUCUUUCUGCAUCUCAUGGUUUCUCCCAGCUGGUGCAGCUUCACAACAAUGGGAAAGAUGGGUAUGAGGAAAGUUCAAGCCAGUGGCAGAGGGGCAAUGGAUAUGUCCCUGCAGAUCCAGAGGGUUUUUCAGGAGCAUUGGCCACUGAGUUGUAGGUGUGUGGGGAGCUGCCAUCUCAAAAGAACAGUUUUCUGUUCCUUUUUGAAAAUAAAUACUCAUAGGCUGUGCUAUGAGGGCCUUCUCAUUUUGUGUUUUUCAGGCAUGAGCUCAUGGAGGCUGUUCGUUCAUCAGCUCAGCUAAGGCUGCACCUCUACUACUGCCACACAAAUGCCCUGCCCCGAACAAUAAGAAACCCAAGGGAACUGUGCUUCUGUGCUAAAAUUAUAGAGGAAAAUAUUAUAAAAGAAAACAGCAACUAAUUAUUAACAUCAGGUUCCACUCAUUAUUAGUAUCACAAAUGUAAAAUGGCUGCCAACAAGAUUCAGCUUGGAAAUCUCAUUAGAAGGAAAUGUCACGGUUUAUUCCUGGUGAUAAAUGCUAUUUUAUUGCCUUUGGAAUGGUCGGCUGGUUUGGCUAAAUGCAAUGGGUGGCUCCCUUUGAGGUGUAUAUUUCUACUGAUGAAUUCAUAUUGUCUGAAGAAUAAUAAAUAUCUGAUAAUUUUCUAAGCAAUCCUGAAAAUAUUUAAUGUUGCCAAAGAAUUCAGUCAUCUAAAUUGCACACUGGAGUACAAAAGAAAAAGAAUAAUGAUAUGGUAAUACAAAAAGGGCAAAAUCAUAAUGAGGAGGGACAUUUUUCAGUAUACUCAGAAAAGCACAAUCUGUCUCCCUGGUAAUUUGGUGGAGUACAGACAGUAUUACAUGCCAUAUUACAAGUAUUACAUUUUAUUUCUGGCUUCAAGAAUCGUUACCAUAUGUUCAAAGUCAGACAUGACCUCUUAAAUAUAGCAUGUUCUUUGUUCGUGCUGUGCGGGCUUCGUCCUGCUUGGACAGUAUUUAUUCUGAAAAAGUUAAAGACAAUAUAAAUCUUCCAGUGCCAGAAGACUUCGUAUCAGCCAGCUUUUAUGGAUGAACUGGACAGCAAUAAUUUGGCUCCUACUGACCAGGAAUACUCAACAGGUCAGCUGCUGUCUCUUGAACCGGCCUGAGUUUUACAUUUUCCUCUCCAGAGCUGAGGUUAUUUCUCAGUCAAGUGGAUUACAUCUGUCCACUCUGGAAGUCAACAAUGUUCAGAACCAAGUCAGCAUAUGGCAGCCGUGGGCUGGGUCUCCUGCCAUUACCAGAUGAAAAAUAUCAUUCUAUCAAUCUUGACUAAUGGAAAACCAAUAGAAAUAGAAAAGCUCACAGUGAUUCCACAGCUAAAAACCCUCCCUGAAGACCUUAUGUGAAGUCAUCAUUUUGGGACCAUGUUUAGUCUACCUCCAUGGCCACCUGACCAGAUUGGAUCAUUUGGCAUGGGUGGCAUGCUAUGCCAGCUGGUGACUCUAGGAGGGACAAAAGCCUUUGUAGUCCUUGCUUGCCCAUUAAACCCUCUUGGUUUAUAUUUGCAGGUACUUGGACCCAGCCUGCAGCUGUAGCAGGGUAGCAGUUACACUCAGGUGUCAAACAGAAGAGAAAAGCUGCUUGUGUGAUUUCACAGGCAAGGUCUAUACAGAAGGAAGUGCAACUGCUUGUCCAGCCUUCAGAGAUAAUUUUAGGAUAGCUCCAACGGCCAUUAUGGCCUGAAUGACCAUGAUGUGUCUUUGUUUUCAGGACAGAAUUUUGGCAGCCAGCAUAAGUUAUUUGCCAAGCAAGAGCAUGCACAACCAAAAGUAGGUCCUUUAUUCAUAGUUCAUAUUAAAAGGAAAGGUACUCCCUGCUGGCAAUGCCAGCAAUGAAUCUAACAUGAACGCAUGGUGGUGUAUUUGAAAAAAUACCAACUGGCCAUUUUUUCCUUUCAGUCCAGGAGAGAGAAAGUAGCAGCCCAACAGGGGAAAAUGCUGAGCAGGUUUUACAUCUGACACAUCCUCCUGCGCUCUACGGAAAAUUGCCAGCACCAUCUCCAGUAAUUACAGAUUAAAUUCUUCACAAAUAUAUAAAGCAACAUGAAUGUAUCCCAAUUUCCAUGGCACCUGUCUUAUUGUUAGUGCAAGAAAUCUUUCUUAUAGCUGCCAAUAGUCAUGGAGAAAGUCAAUGGGUUACACAGUGAUCAUUUACUGAAGGACGAAAUGAGUCAGUAUGAGAAAGAUAAAACCUUGCUGGUUAAUAUGUAUUUAUUUGAAGGAUAUAAAAGUCUUAGGAAUGAAUUUUAUUUGGGGCACUUUAUGUGGGCUUGCAUACUGUACUGUAAAUGCAAUUACUAUGCAAAUGCACACAGUAACCAUGGAAGAAAUUUAGGGUAUAUCUGGUGGCAUCACUCUUGGUUUGAGAUCAUAGAAACUAUUUUGACCACCUGAUCCGAUGUUACUGUGAGAAGCUAGAACUGAUGGUGCCUUUCAACUUGGGGACAGGAUUUAAACAACAGGCGAUAAAAUGUAUUUUCUGGAUCUAUUUUUUUUUCAACACGGUUGCAUGUAUAAUUUCAAGGCAUUGGAUAUGAUUAACUAAUUAUCUCUGUAACAGUUAUCCCACAUCUGCUGAGUCCUGUGCUAACCACUUAGUUCUCUUUUAUUCAUCCUACAUCAUACACAUCACUUUUGUGGUGAAGAACCAAGGAGAAAAUUGAUUGGAACCAGUGGAGAGUGCUGCUGAGUGCCUCCCCACACUGUUUGUGAUACAGCUGCCAGUUCAAAAGAGUGGGCAAGUUUCCUCUGCAUCACCCUCCUGGCUUUCUUGUUUUCUGAGAGGUCCUUUUCUGCUACACUGUUAAUCUCUGACCAGCAAUGCAGGCUGGCUUCCAAAGCCUUUUGUAUCAGUGCUCAUUCUAGUGGGUCCAAUUUUCCUCUGAGUUAAACUCAAUUAACUCCAGAAUAACUCCAUUAACUUCAAAGCACCAAGCGAGUAUUAAGUGUAUGGAAGAGAAUUCAGUAGCACUGCUUUCCCCUGAACACGGGCAUGUGAGGAGAGAGCAGGAACCUUGUUGUUCAUCACUGCCUAUUAAUAUCGAGUAUCUGGAGGUUUGUUUUAGUCUCACCUUUGUGACAAGCUUGUCAAAGAGAAAAGCAAUGGGUUUUUUUCAUGUUUUGAAAAGUUGUAUCAUAUUUCAAUUUUGUUACUUUGUCAUCAUGGCCUUUCUGCCCACAAAAAGAUACACUGUUCUAGGAUAUAUUGUUCUACUCUGUCAGUCACAUUAGUUCUUUCUAAAGUAACUGAAAAACACAUAUCAAAACCUGUGGAAACACAGUCAUAUAACCACAAGACUGCAUGUUAUUCUCUUAUUUUGUUACCAGAGAAAAGAAAGGAAAGAGAACACUUAUGGUGAGAAAACAGUGGAAUUUUUUGAAAGUUAGUUUUCCACUGAUAUUAAUCCAGUGUGUGCACUGCUCACAGUUUGAAUAAAGCUUAAAAAUAUCUCAAGCUGUCCUUUAAAUAUGAAAAGUCAAGUGUGUUACAAUUUGUAAUCAAGUGACUACUUAGAGGAGCUCAAAGCAUCACAGAAAACUAUGUCAGACUGUAAAACAGGAUUGUGUACUUUUGCACUCAGUUCAACUCACUCAUAGUACACAAGAGUUAAAAAUUGCGUAAAAUUAGCUUUCGCCAAUCAUAUAUUCAAUAGGAAUUUGGUACUAAAGGAAAGUUAAUCUUUUAGAAAGCUAUGUUGGGGAAGGAUUGACCAGUAAAUUAAUAGUCCUGUACUCCAGAAGCAUUUUUUCACAACUACAUACCCAAAUUUAUGCACCUAAUCUUUUAACGUGACAUUUGAAUGCAAACACCAUAUAGUUUAUGUUUCUGCCACAGAAUAGAAUAGGCAGACUCAUUUACCUGUUUCCAGCCUAUAUUGCUUCAUGGUAUUCACAUGGACAAUUCCAUUUAUUCACACCAGUUCUCAAGAAGUGCAUGGAUGUCUUGAGCAAGCUGAGAUUUUAUUUUCCUGCACACACUCACAUGCACAUACUUGGGAUUGGCCUUUAAAAAGCUUUUCCACUCUAUUUGUCCUGGUGCUUGACAAAACCACUUGUCACUGCUUUCAUAUUUAUAUGGCAUCUCUCACUCAGGGGUCUCAAGCAGUAUGAGUAUUAAAACAAGGAAAUGUGUAAUAUUUGUCUGAAAUAUUUACAUUCCUUUUCUUGUGGAGGUCAAAAAUAUGGCACACAAAGGCUAAGCAACCUAUAGGGUUUGCACAGCUGGCAGUCCAAGAGUCCUAGCUCCCAGCCUUAUAACCUCAAGUCUCUUCUCCCCUUUUGGAUGUUUCCAAAAUAAUGCCCAUAACUCCCAGAGAUGUUCCCAAAACACUGUCCCACAGCACUCCUGAGAUUUCUAUCUUCUAAGGUUUGGUACAGUGACAAACUCAACAAAAUGCUGGCGUCCACAGGAGGAUGCUCUGACGCAGUGGCGGAUGGAGAGGGAGGGGAAGAGGCUGCUGCCUCUGGCAUGCCCAAAAUAUCAGUUACAGUAAGCAACAAGUAUACAUGAAGUAGCUAAUAAGUAUGUUUUCAAAUAAUCUUAAGUUUUUUAGGUUUUCCAGACCACCAGAAGUGUAAAGAAAUCUAAAAAUACCAGAGUAAGAUAGACACCACUUCUGAACUCUCUUUUUCAAAAUAUUUAGUAUCACGCUAAAUAUUUUUAACUCUUGAUGCUUUGUCUCAGCUGCCUCCUCUUUUUUACAUUUUUACCUUUUCUCAUAGGCUCUUGGUUAUAGAGUGUUCCAAAAGUGUGUGCUAGCUUUCUUGCAUAAGUUCCCUGUAUAUUUACUUCUCCUUAGAAGCUGAAUUUGAGGUCACUCACAAAAUCUUGGCUUAGUUUAAAAUGUUUUAUAUGUUCAUAUUAAAUAAUCUAAACUCACUAUGAGAUGAAAGGUUUAGUACUAAAAUUUAGGGAAUUAUUUAGCAAAAGGUAAGUCACUCUGGGAUUUUGUUGACAUAACUCUUGUAUUCUAUAAUUCUUGAUGUAAUUCUAAUAUUCUAAAAUUUUCUCAAUAUAAUUCUAGAGCUUCCAAAAAAAUCAGAUUUUCUCAUCCAAUAUCUAUUUUCAUAGGGAACCUAGAGUCCAGUUACAGAGUUAUGAAGAUGUAUAUAGCAACAGUAUCCAUGGAGCUUAGAGUUUUUCAUCCUAAGGAGGUUCUGUCCUCUAAUCAUCCACACUAGUCCAGUUCCAGUCUCAUUUGGCAUGAACUUUCUAUGGUUCACCAAAACAAUAAGCAUGCAUACUUCUGAGGAUGCUUGGAUCCAGGGCAUCCUGCUGGACAGCACUGAGGGACAGAUUUGGCUGCCUCUGCCUCAUACAGCAUCUGUCAGCAGGCAGUGUGGGGUGUCGGUGGGGGUAGGUCCAACACGCUAUACACAUUUUUGUAUUUUCUUUGGACUAAAUCUAACAUCAGGAAUGCAUUAAAUGUGCUCCUAUAUGCCAAAUGCCAUGCUCUCUAUAACUCUCUCUCACUCUUUUCUUUUUAAAAUUAGAGACCAACUUCUGGUUUCAUUUCUUCUGAUUGAAGGUACAUUUACAGUCACGUUUCUCAUUGGAAUGAGAUGAUCUUCAAGGUCCUUUCCAACCCAACCAUUCCCUAAUUCUGUGAUAUAUCUGUGUGCAUGUGCCUGCUGGAAUCACCUGCUCCACCUGGGGAGCAGCAGCCCAGCCCCUGUCAGUCUUCUGCCUGCCCCUUGUGCACAAACACAGCCUGGAGAUUUUUCCCUCCAUUGACUGCUGCACCAGCCUUUCCUCUGGAGGGAGGAUGGGAGCCAUAAUCUUCUUCAUGGCUGAGGCAGUUGGUGUGGAGUGGGUAGGCUGUCAAAGGGGCCAGCAUCCUUCCCCUCAGGAACAAAUGUGUCAUCCCUGAGAUUUUCCAUCUGGCAGGGAAGCAAUAGUCCUCCAGAGCUCGGCUCCCCUGUCCUGAAUUACUUCAUAAAAUGAGCUUCCCAAUCAGAGAUCAUGUUUUCCCACUAUUAAGCUUACUGUUGCAUUUAAAGAUGAUUUUGUAGCAUUUAGCUUAGUGAUGGACAUAAUCCUGUGUCUGAUGUAACAGACUUCAUAGUAAAUUUGUCAAAAAUUAAUG